CCUCCACGUGGUGAGACCUGGGUCGGUAUUACUUGCAAUUAUUGGAAUUUAUAUCUAGAUUAUAUAAUGCAAGUACUACCGGGCGAAUGGCUGCAUAAUUUAGUGCGUUUCCCAAAUCUUUUCUUUCCAAUUCUAAUUAAACAUUAAAUUACUUAUGUUUUGCGAUGAUGAUCAUACAUGAAUGGAUAAAUAGAUAAGAUAUAGUAAAGUUCUGAAAUAAUUUCUUGAAGAAACGCAUUGAAAAAUUCCAAUAGUAUUUCUUUAUUGUAUUUGUAAUUCAUAUUUUUCCUAUACCUGUUGCUGAAGUCACAUGCGCUACGAGUAAAAGUUGGUGAACAGUUUUAAUCGAUAAGUUAUCCAUAGAGAGAGAAAGGGAAUAAAUCUAAAGAAGGAUGAUAAAAAAGUCAUUCGUUUGGUUCGAGGCGCCAUCGGUAGACAUCUUUAGAAUUAUUACGUAUUCGUAAGAACCAUUUUUUGUUAUGCAUUGUGUAUGUAUAUUAUAUUUCCUUGCUUGACUCUCGUCGUAAAUUUAUAAUUGCCAAUAUUCGAAAUGUUUUUCAUAUUAGCGAUCGAGCCGAGAGACGAGAAGGUAAACGAGAUCGUUCUCGAUAUGAACAAAUGAAACGAGUAUAAGACGCGUUACGUUAGUUAGAAAACCGGAAGAGAAACAAUGAACGAUUAGUAUGGAAAUCGUUUAGAGGCAAUAUAAAUGAGUAUGGACGGAUACAGUGUGCGAACAACCACUUGGCGUCGAGUACAAAGCCAAGUUCUUCGCUCGUUCUUAGACUUCCAUAACGACGUUUCUUCGACAAGGAUAAAAGUAUGUCAAUGUCCAUUUAUAAUCCUAAAAGAACAACUUGAUAUUCCCGCUUAAAAGUAGAUAGCUAUGAUAUCCGUAUAUUCGAGAUUACGGUGGUACGGGGUGAUUUGAACGCUCACAAUGCCAGGAAUCGAUGUCGUACCUGAUACACAUAUAAAUCUACAUACAUAUAUAUAUAUAAUAUAUGUGUGUGUAUGAUAUAUAUAUGUAUGUACGUACGCAACGUGCUCGAAAGUGCGACUUUGCAGGGUCACGUUACAGAAUACAUCUGCGACAAUCAGAAUGCAUGUUACGUUAGACAGUUCGAUAAGAAAAUGACGAUCCUCGCUGCUGUAAUUUACACAUCAUAAAUUUGAAUAUUUAGCGAUGUGAUUUUUUUAGUCGAUAAGUGAGUUCGUGAAUCUGUAUUAAACAGUAAGUGAAUAUUUAUGUUACAUAUCGAUCUAUUCAUUAAGAAAAUUUCUUACUAAUUAUAUUUAUAAAGUAUCAACUAUUUAUAUUUACGAUAUUAACAACAAGUUGACAUCUUCAUUGGAUUCCAAUUUAGUAAUCACUGAUAUUAAAAAGUAUCCAAACUUGCAUCAGGGUUGUUCGUGAUUAUUCUGAGAAUAUGAAUAAUUUUCAACGUGUGGAAAGUGACGAUGAAUAGGGUUGUUACCAGCAGCGGAUUUAAUUUUCGAGGUGUCCGAGGUGUUAUCAAUUUUUGGAUUCUCAUUAUAAUAAAUGUAUGUAUGUACAGUAUAUAUUUUUUCGAUUCAAUUGUUCAUGCAAAUGAUGAUGAGGAGUAUAUUUCAUUUAGUGAUGCAAUGAAGUGGAUACUCUUCAUUAUAGUCCCACAUUUGAUUACAGUCGCAAAUAUAGAAAUAAAAAUUAUAUAUCCGUCAUUGGAUAUUAAAUUAGACAUAUUAUAUGAUAUAAAUUCAUAUUGUUGUAUAGGAGCUUCUAUCUUAUGGGGCCAGAAACAAUUACUUUCACUACUUGUUUGUAAAUCCGCUACUGCUUGUUAUUAUGACUCAUUUUAAAAUCCUGUAAAUACAUAACAUUUUCUCUUUGUUA